UUUUUUUUCCAUUAUAACUGGUUUACAGUGUUCUGUCAAUUUUCUACUGUACAGCAGGGUGACCCAGUCACACACACACAUAUACAUUCCUUUUUCUCACAUCAUCAUGCUCCACCGUAAGUGACUAGAUAUAGUUUCCAGUGCUAUACAGCAGGAUCUCAUUGCUUAUCCGUUCCAGAGGCAAUAUUUUGCAUCUAUUCAUCCAAAUUCCCAGUCCCUCCCCCUCCCCCUUGGCCACUUUUAAUGGAUAGAAGGAGAAAGCAAUCCUCUGAACCUAAGAGGAAUCCUUGCAACUUCCACCUCUGGGCAUUUCGAGAUGAGCACAGAAAAGAAACAACAGGAGCCUACACAGUAGAGAUGAGACUGGUCAAAAACAGAUGUUACUAAAGGAAUCGUUUCAAGAGAGCCGAGGUGUGCCCUUCUGGAAGAUGUGCGAGCUGCACUCCCCUAAGGAGUAGUUCUUUAGUGACACCAUGUUGUCGUUUGGCCCUUAAAUGAUAUCGCUGGAAGGGAUGCUAACCAUCAGGGUGCAGGGGUCUGGAGCUGCCAGAUGGGUUUCUCCUACCUAAAGUGGCAAGUUAGGGGCAGAAAUGACCAUCAGAUUCUAUGUGGAAAAACCAAGGACCACCGAUAAUGUUCUGCUGUCAAUAAGCUAAAGGACAACUAAUUAUAUCCAGACAUCCUUUUUUUUUUUCUGUUUUGGGGUUUUUUGUUUUUGCUUUUUAGGGCCAUGCCCACGGCAUAUGGAGGUUCCCAGGCCAGGGGUCCAAUUGGAGCUACAGCUACCGGCCUACGCCAGAGCCACACCAACUCAGGAUAUGAGCCGUGUCUGCGACUCACACCACAGCUCACAGCAAUGCUGGAUCCUUAACCCACUGAGCAAGGCCAGGGAUCAAACACGCAACAUCAUGGUUCCUAGUCGGAUUCAUUUCCGCUGUGCCACAAUGGGAACUCCUACCCAGACAUUCUGAUAAGAAGCUAAAACAUGGCACAAAUGAACCUCUCUACAAACAGAAACAGCCUCACAGACAUAGAGAACAGGCCCUGGUUGCCAAGGGGGAUGGAUAGGGAGUUUGGGGUUAGUAGAUGCAUAAGGUCCUACUGUACAGCACAGGGAAUGAUAUCCAACCUCCUGGGAUAGACCAUGACGGAAAACAAUAUUUUAAAAAAAAGGAAAUAUGUAUGUAUGACAAGUCACUUUGCUGUACAGCAGAAAUGGGCACAACAUUGUAAAUCUACUAUACCUUAAUUAAAAAUUAAAAUUAAAAAGAUUUUUUAAAGAUGAGAAGCUGAAAGGCAAAAAUGUGGCAACACUAGGAGUCUGGUUCAGGGUUCGUAUCUGACCAGCACGUGCUCUGUGUCUGCAUAUCUGUGUACAGACGAUGCAUAUCUGUGUGUAAGGUCACAGCUAGUGGUGGCCCUAUGCCUUGGUACCUCAAGGCGUAUUUUUUUCAUAUUGAACUAAUUAAACAUAUUCUCUCCCUAGUUAUGCUAUUGUCUAUUCUUAUUUGCUACAGAUAAGAUUUUUUAAAAUCAUUUUAAAAGUCAUGAAUAAAGAACUACCUUUUACUUUGAUAGAGAAAAUAUUAUAUCAAUAAUCCAACAUGGUAUUUAGAGAUAAUGUUUAUAAAAUUUCGUUUGACUUAGCCUUCUGCUUCUGGAUGAUAAUAGGGACCAGAUUUACCCUCCUGCCUGAAAAAAAAAAAAAAAAAAAAAAAAAAAAAAACCAACNACAAAAUAUACAAAACAGUUUUCAAGACAGCGGGGGUGGGGAGCUCCCAUGGGUCAGUGGGUUACGAACCCAACUAGUGAUCAUGAAGAUGCGGGUUCAAUUCCUGGCCUUGAUCACUGGGUUAAGGAUCCUGUGUUGCCAUGAGCUGUGGUAUAGGUCACAGACACAGCUUGGAUCCUGCGUUGCUGUGGCUGUGGUGUAGGCUGGCAGCUGCAGCUGAUUGGACCCCUAGCUUAGGAAUGUCCACAUGUGCAGGUGCAGCCCUAAAAAGCAAAAAAAAAAAAAAAAANGUUGUCAGCCAAUUAAGAAAGGAUAGUAAUUCUGGAGAGACAGGACACAAACCAGGUGAGUCCUGUGUGUCCCAAGUUAGGCCUGGAUGGAUCUGUUCUACUCCUUGAAGUGAGGAGACAGCUGAGAAUCCAGGUGGUUAAGGCUCUGAGUUCCAAAGACAGAGUACUAGAAAGGAGAGAGCUGCAUAGAGAGCCCCAGAGAUCUGCAGAGCACUAAUCCGACAUGUGGAGAAACUAUGCACGGCCAGGGAAAGACCCCUCAGAAGUGGCUGUACAGUUAUACCUCAUCUGUGAGAAACUGGUUCCAGGACCCCUACAGAUACCAAAAUCCAUGGCUGCUCAAGUCCGCUGCAGUUGGCCAUCCAUAUCCAUGGAUGCAGAACCCAACUGUGUAUCCUCCCUUCACUAGCUUAGCUUCUAAAUGUAGACCAGUUAGUUCUUUGAAUUGGGGAAAGAGAAAACUAUUUUGAUUAGGACAGUAAGGACAAAAAAGACCCUCCAACUUAAUCUCCGACUAAAACCAACAUCUUUAAGGUGGGGCUAUUUCUAUCUACAGUAUAAUCACUCAUUUUGUUGUUGUUGUUUAUUGGCCACACAUGAAGCAUGUGGAAGUUCCCAAGGCCAGGGAUCCAACCAGAGCAGGAACAACACCAGAUCCUUAACCUGCUGAGCCGCCAGGGAACUUCUUGUUUUGUUUGUUUCCAUUUGUCCAGCACAUUGUUUUUCUUACUAUUGAUAUCUUACAUUUAGUAAAGUACGAUUGUCACAAUCAAUGAAUCAAUGUUGAAACAUUAUUAUUAAUUCAAGUCCAUACUUUAUUGAGAUUUCUCUAGUUUUCCCUAAUGUCUUUUUUCUGACUGUCACUAUUUGCACAGCCUUGACUCUAUAUUUCAGUAGUGUAUGGACAGCAAAUGCAUCAAGCAGGUACUCUUUCAAAUGAGAUGCUUAUAGUUCUACCUUCAUCUGAAAAAAAGGGUUACACUCUGAGGAGAAAAUAUUAAACUAUUUUCAACUUAAACCUAUUUAAGAAUACUUAAAACUAUGUAUUCUAAGAUGUAAAAAUCUCUUGUCAAAUAAUAAUUUAGAAGACAUAUAAGACUCUGGCAAAGAUUCUGAUGACUUGGGUUCCCCUAGUCCCAGUGGUCCCUUUAGGGCUUCAUAUUGCUCUGCCAAGCAGAUCUGGAAAUUUUAGGAUCAAGUACUUCAGCACCCUCUACUGGCCACUGAUCACCAUUGCAACCUCAUUUUGGUAUAUUCUUGAUCCUAGCAGUCUCCCUGAAAAUACCUUCUUCCACCAACCUCAAGGGUGGGGUCAGCUUUUAUGGUACCUUAUGUGAAAACAAUGUCCUAAAGGUGAGAAUUUAAAUGGUUAAAAUUUGUCCGCCCUGUCACAUAUAUUCUGGCAAACUUGAAAAUUUUUCAAGUAAAAAUCAGCAAACAACAACCAAAAGGGCAAAAUUUAAGACACCUAAUUCCAAAGAUGCACUAAAGGACAUUUACCACAAUAAAAUUAUCUUUUCAUAGACUUUAUUUUCAAUUUAACAAAUCAGGAAAAGACAUAUUUUAAACUUCUUUCAAUAGGUAAAAAUUUCAGAAAAAAUUCCUAGGGCAGCAACUGGCAAUUUACUCAUAUAUCUCACUUAUGACUAUCGAUUUCAAAACACUUUGCUUGGAUCUCUGCCUCAUCUUCUCUUUUAUUUUAGCCUAAGACAUAAUAAGAAUACAUGUUCUAGAACAAAAGCUUUCUUUGGGCCAUAAAUUGUUAAGAUUGAAGUCAUACCAAUUAUCUUUACCAACCACAAUGGAAUGAAACUACAAAUCAGUAACAGUAGGAAAACUGGAAAAUUACACAAAUUUGUUAAAAUUAAACAAUGCACUCCUGAAGACCAAAAGAUCAAAGAAGAAAUCACAAGAGAUUAGGAAAAAAUCUUGAGAUAAAUGAAAAUGUCAACACUUUUGAGAUGUGUCACUGCAUCUCAUACCAAAACUUAUGAGAUGCAGUAAAAGCAGAGGGACGUUCAUGGGCAUACAUGUGCCAUUAAAAAAGCAAGAUCUUGGAGUUCCCAUUAUGGCUCAGUUGGUUAACAAACUCAACUGGUAUCCAUGAGGAUGAGGGUUCGAUCCCUGGCCUUGCUCAGUGGGUUAAGGAUCCAGUAUUGCUGUGAGCUGUGGUGUAGGUCACAGACACAGCUCAGAUACCCUGUUGCUGCGGCUAUGGUAUAGGCUGGCAGUUACAGCUCCGAUUCAACCCCUAGCCUGGGAACCUCCAUAUGCCACCAGUACAGCCCUAAGACAAAAAAGACAAAAACAAACAAACAAACAAACAAAUGAAGAAGAAGAAGAAAAAGAAAGAAAGAUAGAAAGAUCUUGCAGUUCCCUCCAUGGUGCAGUGGGUUAAGGUUAAGAAUCUGACUGCAGCAGCUCGGGGUGCAGGUUCGAUCACCAGCCCAUCACAGUGGAUCCAGCAUUGCUGCAGCUGUAGCUCAGGUUGCAGCUGUGGCUCCGAGCCAAUCUUUGGCCCUGAUUCAAUCUUUGGCCCAGGAACUUCCAUAUGCUGUGGGUGUAGCUUUUAAAAACAAAACAAAAACGCUCAAGUCAAUGACCUAACUUUAAACCCCAAGGAACUAGAAAAAGAACAAACUAAACCCAGAGUUAGCAGAUGGAAUGAAAUAAUAAUGUGAAAAUCAACCAAUUUUAAUACAUCACAUUAACUAAAUGAAGGACAAAAAACACUUGAUCAUCUCAAUCAAUGCAGAAAAAGCAGCUGACAAUACUGAACACCACUUCAUGAUAAAAAGACUCAGUAGGAAUUCCUGUCGCGGUGCAGUGAUUAACGAAUCUGACUAGAAACCAUGAGGCUGCAGGUUCGAUCCCUGGCCUUGCUCAAUGAGUUAACGAUCCGGCGUUGCCAUGAGCUGUGGUGUAGGUCGCAGAUGUGGCUCGGAUCCCGNNNNNNNNNNNNNNNNNNNNNNNNNNNNNNNNNNNNNNNNNNNNNNNNNNNNNNNNNNNNNNNNNNNNNNNNNNNNNNNNNNAAAAAAAAAAAAAAAAAAAAAAAAAAAAAAAAAAAAGACUCAAUAAACUGGGACCAAAGAAAACUACCUCAACAUAAUAAAAGUCCACAGCUAACAUCAGUCUCAGUGGUGAAAAAUAGAGCUUUCCCUCUAAAUUCAGGCACAAGGCAAGAAUACCCACACUUGCUACUUCCAUUCAAAAGAGGAUUACAAGUCCUAGCCAGAGCAAUUUGGCAAGAAAACAAAAUAAAAGGCAUAAAAAUUGAAAAGGAAGAAGUAAAAUGAUCUGUUUGUGAAUGAAAUGUAUGUUUAAAACCCUAAAGAGUACACACAAAAAUUAAGAAGUAAAAAUUCAGCAAAGUUGUAGGAUACACAAUCAACACAAAAAAUCAGUUGUGCUUCUAAACACUAACAAUGAACAAUCCAAAAAGAAAACUUAC
rnacentral:lncRNA from 1 species